rnacentral:rRNA from 1 species
UACGGAGGAUGCAAGCGUUAUCCGGAAUGAUUGGGCGUAAAGCGUCCGCAGGUGGCUAUGUAAGUCUGCUGUUAAAGAGUGAGGCUCAACCUCAUAAGAGCAGUGGAAACUACAUGGCUAGAGUGCGUUCGGGGCAGAGGGAAUUCCUGGUGUAGCGGUGAAAUGCGUAGAGAUCAGGAAGAACACCGGUGGCGAAGGCGGCGACCUGGACGAUGACUGACGCUGAGACGCGAAAGCGUGGGGAGCAAACAGG